UGGGGAAUCUUGCGCAAUGGGCGAAAGCCUGACGCAGCAACGCCGCGUGGAGGAUGAAGGCCCUUGGGUUGUAAACUCCUGUCGGCUGGGAAGAAAUCGUUCGCGGCUAAUACUCGCGGACGUUGACUGUACCAGCAAAGGAAGCCCCGGCUAACUCUGUGCCAGCAGCCGCGGUAAUACAGAGGGGGCUAGCGUUAUUCGGAAUUAUUGGGCGUAAAGGGCGCGUAGGCGGCCAUGCGUGUCUUCCGUGAAAUCCCUCGGCUCAACCGAGGACGUGCGGAAGAAACUGCAAGGCUUGAGUCCAGAAGAGGGGGGCGGAAUUCCCAGUGUAGCGGUGAAAUGCGUAGAUAUUGGGAGGAACACCGGUGGCGAAGGCGGUCCCCUGGGCUGGUACUGACGCUGAGGCGCGAAAGCGUGGGUAGCAAACGGG
rnacentral:rRNA from 1 species